AUGAGGAGUCCUCCUCCCACCUGGUGUGGGCUGGAGUCCCAGGAGCAGGCGCUGGGAUGGGACAGCGGGGGAUCAGCUGGUCUGAAGUCCUGGUUGUGGGUGAGUGCGUGCACACGGGUGUGCGUCUCUGCGCAUGUGCGUGGUGAGGGAAUGUGCCCUUGUGGAAUCUCCCCCAGGGCAACCUGGCAGUGUGAGGCUGACCUUUGCCCCAAACCUCCUGUCCUCGGGCAUGACAUCAGUCCCCAGCUGGGCUGUGAAAUGAGUCCACGUCGAAUCCUUCCAUACACCUACUUGAACUCACGUCCCUCACUGACACUUUCAGAGCUGACCCUGGGUGCCACUGGCUUCUGUUGCUGUUGCGGGGUGAAGAUAAAAUCACGAAAACCCUGGAGUUUGAGUCCCUCGUUCUGGAAACAUACAGUGCUGAUUGUCACCUUGUGA
rnacentral:lncRNA from 1 species